AUCCAGAUGACGAGUCCCAAAUAGGACGAAGCGCGCGUCCUGGAU
rnacentral:hammerhead_ribozyme from 1 species